rnacentral:lncRNA from 1 species
AGGGUUUCCCCAGACGGCUUCUGCGGGUUGCGCAGACGCAAAACUCCCCCUUCGUCGUGUCAGCCGUGCCGCCAACGGUGGCUGCCUGGCUGCUGCCCUCCCUCCCCGGAGCGACGGCGCUGCCCUUGCAGCCCCUGCAGGUACCCACCCUCCCCUCCGCGCUGCCCCAGGCCACCGUCUGGCACGUGGUGCCGGGGGUCCAGGGGCAGGUGCUGCAGCUCCCCGCCGGGGUGCAGCUGCCACCUGGGGGGCACCUCCCAGCCCAGGGGCACCACCUGCAGCUUGGGCAGCUCCCCGCCGUGGGGCAGCUCCCUGCUGGGGGGCAAAACCUGCAGCUGGUGCAGCUCCCAACCAUGGGGCACCAGCUGCAGCUGGUGCAGCUCCCCGCCGUGGGGCAGCUCCCCCACACCGCUCCUCCCUGUGCCCCCGUCCAUCAGUGGGGACAGCCCAUGGUGACGGGGACACUGGUGCCCCACCAUGCGCUGGGGCUGGGGCCCAGGGCCGUGCUCCAUGGGGAGCUCCUGCACCCCGCAGGCACCUGCCUGUUGCAGGCCCCCGCCCAGCGCAACCCCCCGCCACCCCUCGUCCCGGGGCCUCCGCUGCGGGGGCAGGCGCUCCCCACGCCCCGCACCCUGAGCAGCAGCCGGGGGCAGCUGCCGGAGCCCUGCUUGCACGCCGUGGGGCUCAGCGAGGACCAGGGGCCCCCGCUGCCCGGCCCCACUCCCCCCGAGCCUGCCCAGGCUCCAAGGACCGCCAGCACCCAGACGGCGACGCCCGACGCGGCGACAGCCCCGCAGGUGCCUGAGGAGCCCCCGCAGCUGCCCGAGCUGGGCCCCGAUGCCUUGGCCGAGGCCUUUCCAGAGCUGGCAGGGGACAGCCAGCAGCUGCAGCACGUGCAGGACGAGCUCCUGGCCCACCUGGACAUCCCCAUCCCCGACAUGGAGGAGCUGCUCAGCUGGCUCGAUGCCGUGGAGCCCCAGGACGCCUUCCCCGAUUUGCCCAGCAGUCCUGCCCUCAGCCGCUUCCUCUCCCAGCUGCCCGACCUCUGCGAGGACAUCGAGGAGCCGAGCACGCAGGGACUGGAAGCCACAGGAGCCCUCGGUGAGGUCCCCUCAAGCCCUGGGGUGCGCCCCGAGAAGCUUGAGGGUGGGCUGUCGCUGCAGUCCCCCGUCGUGCCAGCAGUGAGCCCCCCCCUCAGCCCUGCAGCCAGUCCCCUGCCCAGUGCGCUUAGGAGCCCCCUACCCAGUCCACCCCUGAGUCCCCCCAGGAGCCUCCCUGACACCCAGGUCCUCAGUGCCCUUAGUAGAGCCCUGCCCCAACCCCCCCAGCGUUCCCUCAAGACCCGCCCCAACCCCAAGGUCCCCAGUGCCCUUAGUAGAGCCCAGCCCAAAUCCCCCCCGAGUUCCCCCAAGAAACGCCCCAACCCCAAGGGCCGCAGUGACCAUAGGAGACCCCUGCCCAAACGCCCCCUGGGUCCCCUCAAGAGCCCCCUGGCUGCCCCUGCGUCCACCGGCACCGAGCGGGGGGCCAAGCGCCCCGCGCCCAGCAGCACCCCCGGGACAGCGCAGAGCUGCCAGCACAGGAGGCCGACGACAGAGAACCCCCCCCGCAAGGAGAGGAAGAUGCUGCUGGGCCAGGCUGGCCAAGGCCGCAAGAGACCGUGCCAGGGGAAGACGCGUGGCAGCAGCACGGUGGCUGGCAGCAGCAGGGAAGCAGGCAGCAGCGGGCAGCAGCUGGCGAUCAACAGCACCACGGCACCGGUGAAGAGAGCGCGAAGCCCGGGGGCUGCAGGGGGGCAAGGAGCAGCGGCACCAGCUCCCCGCAGAGCGCGGCUGCUGCCGGAGACUCCGAGUGGGGAGCCCCGUGCCGUGCGGCCCCAGGACAGGCUCUGUCCCCAGGCCAGCGGGGCCAAGACGCUGGAGGAGUCGGUGCCCAUCACGCCGCAGCAGCGUCCCGAGCGGGAGCGCCUGAAGAAGCUGGCCCAGGAGGAGCGGCAGCGGGCGGCCCACCAGAUGAAGAUCGGCCCCGUGCAAUUCUUCGUGCAGCGGCAGAAGGACCACGCCAGAGCCUACUCUUACGGCUACCCGUGACCGACCUCGGGCUUCUCCUCGACGGCCCCCGCAGCACCCAGGCAGGCACAGAGACCUCUGCAGGCACCUGCUCCAGCUUCAGCCACGCUCCUCAGCCCUUGCCCCUCUCGCUUGCCCUCUCCCCUCUCUCGUGCUGGAGCUAGGGGAUGAGCUUGCCACUCUCAGGGAUGGGCAACGGGGGCAAUGGAAAAUGCGUGGCUCACCGAGGAAGGUGGCAAUGGGAAGCUGGGGAGAUGCUGGCAGCGGCUGGGCUGGGAAAGCUUGCCCAUGGCAACUGCUGCUUGGGACACCAAAGGGCUGAGAGACAAGACUUGGUUCUUCUUUCAGGGCAUUGCUCUUCUUUCCUGCCUUCUGGAUUAAAUUCCUCUCCUUACGUGGUCACUCAGCAAGGCCUCUGCCUGCAGCUCUUCUUGCACUGGGAUGCCAAGGGGAUUUCAUGCAGCCCGCUCCCGCUGCCCAUGCUCAGGCCGUGCAUGGAUGUGGGCAUGGCCAGCACGGACGGCAGAAGAUGGAUGGAUGGAUGGAUGGAUGGAUGGAUGGAUGGAUGGAUGGAUGGAUGGAUGGAAGAAUGGGAGUUGGGAAUUGAGCCUUGGGAGCAGCAAUGGGAGGUGGCUGGGAUAGGAAAUGAUCAGUGGGAUGGGAAGUGAUGAUGGGGAUAGGAAUUCAUUGUUAUGGGAAAAAUGGGUUUUAUUUUUAUUAAAUUUAAAUUUGUUAAUUUUCAUUUAAUUUGUUGGUUUUAUUAUUUAUUUCAUUAAAUC